rnacentral:rRNA from 1 species
CAGCUUUGCCAUCUCAACUUGUGAGCUUGUCAGGUCUCGUAAACUAGCAGAUUGAACUUGGUCAGUUCUUGGAUGGGAGGCCUCUUGGAAAACCAAAGAAGUAGGUUUGU